UAAUUCAAUAUAUGUUAAACAUGUCCACCAUAGAAUAUUCCAGGACAAGAAAAAUACCUCAAAAUUGCUGAAUUAGUGGCUUUUUAUCGGUUCUCCUUCAUUUAACCUUUUUUUUUCAUCAUUUCUCUUGGUCUUCCCAUCUGGAACACUCUCUCCUACGUAACACAGUUCUCUUGUUUUUCUAGGUAUAUUUUCUGACCACUCACUCCUCAGCUUCUUUGACUGGUCCAUUUGACUGGAUGAGCAAUUGCCAUUGCUCAGUAAGUGUAGUCAUCUCCAAAGCCUCUUAUGGCCCACUCUCCUGUGGAGAUCUCACCUACUCCACUGACUCCAAUGAUCAUCUCUAUGCAGAUGCCUCCAAAGGCUCUUCAUCCAGUUCCUGAGCCCUGCCCAGGGCCCGCUGCUGAACAUCUCUGCUGAAAAUCUUGCCAGCACUGCAAACUUACCACAUUCAAACUCCAGUAACUUCUUAACAGCAACCUUGUACAGGUCAGAGCCAAGAAAAGCUUGAGUUUGAAUCCCUCCUCUGAUACUACUUAAGUGUCACAACCACUAAGAAUCUCAAUAUUCUCACUGCUAAAAUGGAGAUAAUGUCUUAUAGACCCCUCUAUAGAAUUGUAGAAAUCAAAGAACAUAAUGUAGGCAAAGCACUUCUUCAAUCUUAAAGCACCAUAGAUGUGCUAUUAUUAUUAUUCCCACAAACCUGCCCUCCCUCCCAAUUUUCCUCUUUAAAAAUUGUUAGAUUUUUAAAAAAUUUUUUCUGCGGCUGUUUAUGUACAGUCAGAUAAUUAACUGAUUAGAACAAAGGGCAAAACCAAACAAUACCACAUUAGAAAAUAGGAUAAAGAUGAAAACAAGACUCUACACAAUAUCUUUCACUUCCCUUAUUUAAAUAAACUAUUGAUGUUGGAAAAUGGGAAAUGGAUAAAAGCAAAGACAGUGUUUCUAAUUAUCACCAUUCCUUACAAGAAUGUAACAGAUAUAAAACAGUUGCCACUACAAGGACACAAGAACUAAGGCAAUAAACAUAACCACUUUUGAAAAGCUGAGAGAAAUGGCAGCUAAGGAUAAUACCAGCUUAGAAUAUAAAGUCAUUUUCAAGACAUUAUGGAGGAGCAUGAAAGAAGAGCUGAAGACCUAGGCAGUUGGAGUGAUUCCGAAUUGGAGUUCCUCAAAGAACCUUUGGUCAUUGUAGACCACUUCUGAAGAUUUCAGUGCACUAGAACUUUUCCCCAUGGAAUUAAAUGACAACAUCUACAAGUAAACAAAAAUCUGCCCUCUCUUCUACUCACCCCAGUUGAGAAUGAAAAUUUCUCCAUUGUCCCUGUCCAAAAGAAAAAAAAUAUGUUGGGAGAAAGACAGAGAUCUACAGACAGAAAUUUCUCAAUCUGUACUCUAAUUAUCAGGAGGUAAGUAGCAUGUUUCAUUGUUAGUCUUCUGGAAUUGUGGUUGGUCAUUAUAUUGAUCAGAAUUCCUAAGUCUUUAAUAGUUUUUGUCUUGACGAUAAUGUAAAUUGUUCUCCUUGUUCUGUUCACUUUAUUCUUCACACUUCACUUCAUACAAUAGCACAAUAGCGUUCUACUUUAACUUGUUCAUUCCCCAGUUCAUGGGCACCUCCCCAGAUUCCUGUUCUUUGCCACUGCAAACAAAGCUGUAAAUAUUUUUGUACAUCCUUAGAGUUUGUUUUGCUUAGUACUAAUCCCUCCCUUAAUUUGUCCCCCCUCUAUUUUCCUUUCUCU